AAGGCUGUGCAUAAUGGGCCGUAAGCCCGACCCGUCCGAAAGAACCGACUUCCCCAACCCAUGAAAGACGGGUUCAUCGGGUCAUUAGUAUGAGAUCGGGUUUUAGUAAAAACAACCCGUCAAUCCGUCGAAACCGAACCUGGGAUGAAGACCAAAAUAC